rnacentral:rRNA from 1 species
CUGGCGGCGUGCCUAUCAUGCAAGUCGAGCGGACAGAAGGGACGUUGCUCCCGGAUGUUAGCGGCGGACGGGUGAGUAACACGUGGGUAACCUGCCUGUAAGACUGGGAUAACUCCGGGAAACCGGAGCUAACACCGGAUAGUUCCUUGAACCACAUGGUUCAAGGAUGAAAGACGGUUUCGGCUGUCACUUACAGAUGGACCCGCGGCGCAUUAGCUAGUUGGUGGGGUAAUGGCUCACCAAGGCGACGAUGCGUAGCCGACCUGAGAGGGUGAUCGGCCACACUGGGACUGAGACACGGCCCAGACUCCUACGGGAGGCAGCAUGAGGGAAACUUCCGCAAUGGACGAAAGUCCGACGGAGCAACGCCGCGUGGAGUGAUGAAGGUUUUCGGAUCGUAAAGCUCUGUUGUUAGGGAAGAACAAGUGCGAGAGUAACUGCUCGCACCUUGACGGUACCUAACCAGAAAGCCACGGCUAACUACGUGCCAGCAGCCGCGGUAAUACGUAGGUGGCAAGCGUUGUCCGGAAUUAUUGGGCGUAAAGGGCUCGCAGGCGGUUUCUUAAGUCUGAUGUGAAAGCCCCCGGCUCAACCCGGGAGGGUCAUUGGAAACUGGGGAAACUUGAGUGCAGAAAAAGAGAGUGGAAUUCCACCGUGUAGCGGUGAAAUGCCUAAAAAAUGUGGAAGAACCCCAGUGGCGAAGGCGACUCUCUGGUCUGUAACUGACGCUGAGGAGCGAAAGCGUGGGGAGCGAACAGGAUUAGAUACCCUGGUAGUGACCCUGACCAAUGUGGAAGAACGAGC